ACAAACAGGCGGUUCAGAGAGUAAUAAAACACAUGGUUAUUAUUAUUUUAAGGAAAAAACUGUGGUUCACAUACUCAUAUUGAACCGUGGAGGCCGUACCGAACGGGGGGAAGUAACGAAAUGUCUUCAGUUUACUUUCACGAGUGACCAAGUGACCAUGGGGAAAGUAAAAAAAAGAGUAUACACUAUGGAAUAUCGGACGACACAGAAGCAAUAAAAGUUACCGCAGACGACAGUGUGUUACGGGAAAUAGGAACCGACAUGGAAGUUGGCAGAACAUAUCUGUUAAGGAACUAUGGCUUUGUACCAGCAAAGCAUAACAGCUCCGCACUAAUUUUCAUGAAACCCAACACAAUGGCGUUUAGAACAUCAAGCGUAAACGUGCCUGAGGAUGUCGCCACGAAAGCCACAGAAACCAUAAAUCCACCGUCAGCUGUGGUGUCACAGUAUGGUGAAAACUGUCUCAACAAAAUAAUAACUGUUCAAGGACAGGUUGUGUCGGUGGCAGUACUGCACCACCUACUUUCCGGGCCGCAAAUCAAUUACGAAGAAGAAGAAGACGGAAGCUGGGUUUAAUUUUUUCCCGCCGAAUUUCUGAAGUAAUAUAAACAUAGUUAUUAUCGACUAGGAGCCAAAAUAAGCAUGCCACAGAAAUCUUCAAAAAGAAGAAGAAUUCCCACAAACAAAAUGCAGGAGAUGUUCCAGAGUCUCCAUCUCCAACACAUCAUCACUCAGGACAUUUUGCCUUGUGCACUUUGAGGAUGGCUACAGAGCGAAAAUCUUUACACCAUGGGAUAUUUUGAAUGAAAAUGAUGCUCCCAUUCACCAUUUUGACGUUCUUAGACCAGGAGAAGUUGUUAUGGCACGAUGGUCAGAUGUCCCAUUGUUUUGUUUUCUGCCCAGCUACUCAUUUUAGUUCACUUAAGUAACUAAAUAUAUAUACAUACUUAUGUAAAGUAUACAUAAUUUGGGCAGUAAUAAUAAUUUGAGCAGUAUUGCACUUAAUAUUGUUGACAUUUUGUUUCAAUAUCAUUUAGUAUUUCAUUUGCCAGAUUUUGUUUGACUUUAUUACCCAAUAUACUUUUAUUUAGAACAUUUAAGUUUUUCAUUUAUUUAUCUAUUUAUUUAUUUUACAUAUGUAUAUCUGCAAAAUAAGUGUGUGUGUGUGUGUGUGUAAACAGAAAAGACAAAGUCAAUAUUGUAAUGAGAACGCUCAGUUCAGUCUCAUGAGACUAGAAUAACAUCUUUCUGAGGAACAGAAUCACUGUUCUCUGCCACUCAUCACUGCCACUAUUGGCCAUGUUAUUCAGCUGCUGUUGGCUUGUGUUCCUUAAGACUGGAAACAUAACAUUAUACUUCAGCAACGCAGGAAAUGUUUAGCAUUGAAAUCAUACAGCAUUAAGAGCCUCAGCUGACCUGCUUGCCAUGGAGUAGGUGUGUACAAACUGGCCACCUCUUCUGAGUCGUCAAUGUCCAGAGUCUCAUUAUAGGGCUGGUUAUCAAUAAGCUGAGGAUGAAAACGUCACACACACGUUAAAUUAAACAGCUGGCUCGAGAGCUAACUUAGUUUUGUGCAACGAAAAAAAUUCGUGGGUUGAGAAGAGCACAGGAGAGCCAAAGGUUUUUCUCCUUUAAGAUCAGCGAGCUGUUUUUGCUUCUGUUGUGAACAGUCUGCAGUCACUUGAGCCUCGAGUACCGCAUGUGUGCCGGAUGUCCAGUGUUUUUAUUUUCAUUUCUGUUUGCUUAUUUAAGUUGUGUUCUUUAAAUAAGUAACGCUGUGUCCAGUAGAAUACAGCUCGAGAUGUGAAGUGCUGUCUGAUUACUGCUGCAACUUGAAUUGGAGCGAUCCCAUACGUUAAUGCUAACUCAGCGCGUUACAUACACACAGAAAAGGACAACAUCUCUCACAGCAGCGUUUGGAUCAAGUAUAAAAAUAAGAAAGAACUUUAAUUAAAAAUCGUUUUUUACCUCAUAGUCCUCAGACUGGAUUUUCUUAUAGGUGCUGAACUUCAAGUUCCACCUCUUAGCUUGCAGCUUCUUGAAAAAGGGCAUUUCAGCUGUCGAGGUAAACUAUAAUCCUUUAUAGAAUCGUAUAUAGAAGUUAUAUUUAUAUAUUUAUAAAUACUUUCCGCAUUCAAAAACGAGGUCACUUGAUAAAACUUCGUGAUCUUCGUGUGGUCAAUGCAGGUGUUUGUUGCUCCGACGUUGCUAACGUUCUAAAUUCUCGUUCUGAUUCUGAUGACGUGGGCGUCGCUAGGCAUUUUGGGGUGCUUUAGCCCCCCCCCCCCAACAUUUCUAUUCAACUCCCAUAAGCCUCCAUAAACUCUACACAAAUUCCUGAUCGCCUCAGUCCCCUUUAAAUUUCAUAUGAAAACGGUGGCAGACUUCGGCUCUUCCCCGUCUUUCAGCGCGUUCUUCAAUCCGCAGACCGCGGCAAGGAUCAGAGGACGUGUGUACAGUAGAAUGCUGCAAUAAGUUUACCAUCCUACCCUGUUAGUAAAACGUUUAUUUUAUUUUAUUUUUUUACCCUCAUUGGGGUCUGAGCCCCCCCACCCCCAUGAAAAUCCUGCUGAUGACACCUUAAAUUCCGUGAAAUGACCAAAAAAAAAAAAAAGUCUACUCACUGAAGGCCAUAAGACCAUUUAUGGGCCUUUCAUGCACAUUAAAAUUUCACAAAAUAAACAUUAUGUAUCAGGGCUAAUUUGCCCUGGUUGAACAAGAGGAAUUAGUCACUGAGUCCAGACUUAUGUGAAUACACUAGUACAUACUGUCACUAGUUUAUCUUGAGGACUCCAAGCUGACAUGAUCCUCUCUGCAGCCAGAAAACAUACCCAAAGCAAAUGUUAGAUUGCUACAGUGUUUGAGCAUGUUGCCUACACAGAGAUAAACAGCCUUCUAGUUCUUCAAAAAGUGGUUCAAAGUUGUUCAACUUUGCUCCGAUGAACUACACAUUGAAGAUGGCACCCUUUAAUAUAGUUUUGCAGGCCACUUUCAUGAUUGAUGAAUGAAAGAGACACAUUUCAGCUGUAAGUCAUCAUAAGCAUUUAUUUUAUGUCUGUUGACUUGAAACCAAAAUACAGUUGUCUCCAAAGAAGAAUGAAAAAAAAUUAAAAAUGAAUUUUAAAAGUUCAGUUGCUCAACAUUUGGUAGCCAACUACCAGAUAUACCAGCCACUGAACUUUGAUCAGUGUUGUAGAAAGUAUGCUAAUUGUCUGUGUGAAUGGAGAUAUCUGUGUAUUUAUGUCGAAAGUCCACAGGGUGAAACAAAUGCUGAUGAUACUAAGUGCUCAAAUGCAUCUGUUUCUAGCUAUUAGCCUGAUGUUCAAUUAUAAAAGUGAUAUAUUUGUAAAUAUAUUUUGAGCACAAAGCUUACCUAACGUCACUAGUAUGAGCAUAUUGUGAAUAAGAUUCUCAGGAUCAGCUCAGUUUUUAUGAUUACAGCAGUAUGUUUUUUAUUUUUCAAUAUGUUUAUAUGUUCAUUGUCAUUUUUCUUCCACCACACCUCAUCAUACAGAAUCAUACCUCAUCAUACCUUGGAAACAACCACCCUGCACAUCUCCUACUGAUCACACUUGCAAGACUUGAAUGAAACAAAUCAACAACAAUAAAACAAGAUAAAAUAAAACAAAAUACAAUACAAUAAUAAUAAUGCUCAUGUAGGGUUCCCAGAGCUGAACAGAACUUUCUGCUUGCCCUUAGCAAUGUAAGUUAGUCUUUCCAACCCAAUACAGUUCGAUAUCUCCCUUAUCCACAUUCUCAAAGAUGGCAUCUUCAUACUCUUCCAGCACAAUGCAAUCACUAUACUCUACUGGCUUGGAGACAUCAGGAGUCUAGAAGUUUACUCGGUUUCAGUGUUUGUAUAAAGUCCAUUGAAUGUAUUCUAGGAACACAGAGUUUAACAUCCAAGGGGAUUUUAGUGUUAAAUGUAUCUGGCAGACAUUUUAUAAUUUCUUUCUAGAAAUUUUGAAUUUCUGGACAUUCCCAACAACAGUGAUACACUGUACCUUUCUAAUCCAAACAUUUAGCACACACAUCUGGAAUAUUAGCAGAGAUGAUGAAGUUUAACAGGAGUUCUGUACUUUCUUAUUAACCAUUUACAUUGAAGUAAUUAAAACCUCGUAUUUAUUGUCUGUGUUUUAGGCAACCAUUUAACCUCUCUAAUGUUGAUUCAGCACCAUAUUUAACCGUUGUGUUGUAAUAUCUAGUUGUAUUUCUGUUCCCUUCCAAGUCUUAUUUCUUUUAAUUUUGAUAAAGGUGGAAUACAUGUUAUAUGUUCAUAUUUUGAUGAUCUGUAAGAGUUUAAUUCAGGAGUCUCCAGUCUUUGACAAAAUGAAGGUGGCCAGGAGCUACUCGUGUUAUAUUAUUUGCACAUCAUACAUUAUUUGUGUGACGUUUUAAAAAAAUCUCAAUGUCAAACAGUCAUAUUUUGCAAUAAAUCAUUUUAUAAAUAAAUCAAAUUCACAUA